GGCAAAUAUCUAUAAAGCAAAAGUGAAAGCCAGAGGCAUAAACGCAAGUGAAAAUAAAAGUCUCUUUGCCUCAGUCCACAUAAUAUGAUCAACACUGGAACACACUUUAACACACCCACACACAUGGCAGAGAUUAGCAAAAUGGGAGGUGGAAGCAGCAGUAUAUAUAUAUAUUAAAGGUCACUGUGAUCUCUGAUCAUUUUUUCAUUCACCAGCUUCUUUUCACAUUGAAGAGACAGAUUUAAACAGAACAGUGAUGGCAGCAGCAGUUCUAGCCUCAAGCAGUGGAGUGACUGUUUCCAGUGCCACCAAAGGCCUGUUCCUCAUGUUCACCCUGCUGUCUCUGGUUUGCCUUUCAACUUCACUGACAAACAAGAACCAACUGGAACAACUCAGAGAAACCUAUCGGAAAACACAACAACAAAUAGAAUUACUGAAGGCUGAGCAUGAGGAAGAAGUGGCCUCCAUUAAACAGAUGAUGAAUGAAUGCAGUCACGUUAUGGACCCAGUGAUUGUACUGGUGAAGGAAACGAUGCAAGCAUCACGCGAUGAUGAUUUUCCUCCACUAGAUAAAUUUAUGGAGGGCAUUAAAAAUUACAUGAAGAAAACUCAAGCUUACAUUGACAUGAAGCAAGAGGAGUUCAGUGGAAUAAUUGAGGAAAAUGAAAAGAAACUGAAGAAAACUAAGAAAUCAAUUGAAUUUCUUGAGGAACAGGAAGCUCAUUUGUAACUUCCAUGUAAGGUAUUUCCUUUUUCUCUCCUUUUCUCUAUUAGCAUCUAUUGUACCUGUUUAGUUCCCCUGUCAUACAGUAUUUUGUAAAAACUAUGGCUUAACUUUUUGUGCCAUCCUUCAUUACUGUUUCACAUAAAGUAACCUAGGAUUUUACUAUUAGCUACAAGUGUCCAGAGGAUAUUAUGGGUUGAUUAUAACUUUUAAGGAAUACAUUUGUGGUACUUACAUCUUUUUCUGACAUGAUGUAUCUUCAGAAGUGGAAACAAUGUUUAUAUGAACUGACACAUAAUAAAGAGAUAUACCUACUGGUAUUGUU
ensembl:lncRNA